UCUGUCCUGUCGGGCUCAGAGAUCAGGGGCUUCCUCCGAGACUCAACAACCUGCAGACUGUCCUCAGAGACCGCCAUCACAUCCAGCAACCAUCCAGCCAGCCGACCAAUAACAGCAGGCAGACGCUUCUGGAACGGAUUGCCAAGGGGAAAAUUGUAAAAAAAAAACCCCGAAGAAGAUGAGAUGAAGUAUGAACCAGACCCCGGCUCAUCCAAAGAUGACCAGGAUGGAUUAGGGCCAUAAUGGACUGACUACCACGCUGGCCACACUACCUGUUUCCAGGAAGUUGAGGACCCAAAAGCAGAGAGCAGGCAGGCAGGCAACAUUUGAAGUGGAAGAUUUAUUAGUCCAUAAAACAAAGUACAAAUAAACAAAAGGGAGUCCUGAAAGCGGCAGGCAAAAAAACUAAUCCAGAGAGUAGAAAAAACCAAAACAGGAAAUCCAAAAAACAAGAGCAGAAUAAAAAACAGAAUCUAGAGAACAAAGGAAAUCCAAGGAGCAAAGAACCGGACACAAACUGACUCUGGGAGACACGACAGCCUACAUCAUGCGCUGUGGAACUCUAGAUGGAUGGACACCUGUGGAGAAGGCCAAGGUCAAAAAAGCCUUGAUUACCAAAUCCUGCAUGAGGACCGCAAAGACAUGGACAAUAUACAUUCUUGAAAGUGGCACACCAGAGAGGUGGACAGAUGUUGAGUUCAGAUUUUCAGAAGUUCUUGCUGCAAAUGUUCAGCGUCAGUAAAUGUAAACUGAAAG